GCACAUAGUUAGCCGGUGCUUCUUCAUCGAGUAACGUCAUCUACUCCUGGUAUUAAUCCAAGCAAUUUCUUUCCCGUUGAAAGAGCUUUACAACCCGCAGGCCUUCUUCACUCACGCGGUAUGGCUGGAUCAGGCUUUCGCCCAUUGUCCAAUAUUCCCCA
rnacentral:rRNA from 1 species